GCAUUCUAAGAAUUGUCAGAAAGGUGUCAUUGCUUUCUCAAAACUUAAGUCAUUUAAAUAUUUUUUAAAUUAUAAAAUAAAACAAUCUUAAAAAAAUAUACCUAAAUAUAUAUCCAGUUGGUACCAUAACAAUACAGCGAACUAUUCUUAUUGCUAUAAAGUUCAACAAUGUGUAUUUUUCUAAUGGGAUAUGUCCUAAAGUAAAAAGAGAACUGCAGAAAUCAUCUUACACUGUCUAUAAUGAUCAUGUUGGUGGCAGUGUUAGUGUUGUUAUUCUGAGAUUGUGUGGGAUAAAAAUACUGUAGGAUAAGGCAAGUGAAUAAUGUGGUAUUCUAAUCCUAUCAUUCUAUUUGUUGCUUAAGACUGGGAUUCUUCGAAAAAGAGAACAGAUUAUUGGUCAGCUGCUAGAGUACAUAAGAGACACAUUCUUAACAUUACAUGGUUUCUGGUUUUACGGAAAUGAAUUAUACCUAAAUCUGAUCAAGCAUCUACCAAGGAAAUAGGACAAAAAUGCCACUGAAGGGAUGCAAUUGGCAUGAUUAUUUCUUCAAUAAGUUGCAAGGGGGAAAAAGUGAUGGAGGGGAACUUAUAGAAUGAGACGUACUUAGGAGAUAUCAACCAGUCAUAAUGAUCGAACUGAUCUGGACCUUGAAUCAAAGAAACUUAAAAAUUGAAAAAAAUUAUAAUUUAUGACAACCAGAAAUUUGAAUACUGACUGGUUAAUGAUAUUAAGGAACUACUGUUAACUUUUCAGAUGUGAUAUGGUAUUUCAGCGAUGUUUAAUUUGGGGGGGGGAUAUUUAUUAACAUCUUUGAGUCUCAAUUUCCUUAUCUGUGUCAUUAACAAUUCAUAGAGUUUUAAGUGUUAAAUAAGAUAAAGCACUAAUAUAGAAAGUAUUUUAUGUACUCUCUGGCACAUAGUAGAUUUACAAUAUGUUUAGGCGAUUCAUUUAUUUAAUCUAUUAAAAAUAUUUAAAGAUAACAUGUAGGCUAACCGCCUUUCCAGCUUUCAAGCAUGUCUCUGAUGGGUCUGAUAGCAAUAGAAUAUUAGGGAUAAUUAAUGGCUUUAUAGUUAUUAGCGAUGGAUCUGAUUUUCUUUUAUCAAAUACAAUAUUAUCAAGAGUCCCAAACACAUAAAAUAAAAGCUGAGACACUUUGAAUUCAAGGCAGCAAUGGUAUCCCUUUCAUGGUAUGAUCCAACACAGAAUUUAAACAUCUCAGUUUUUUGAAUUAUGUCUGAGUUAUUGCUAAUUUUGAAUUAAUUGAGAGCCUUGAUUUAAUUUAUUUCAGAAGGGUGGAUUUCCUAUUAAAUCUCAGUAUCAACUAAACAUGUAUUAUGUAAUAUGUGCCAGUUAUUGUGCUGGUUGCUGCAAAGAUGCAGAGAUCUUUAUUUUCAGGAGCUCACAAUCUAGGGAAGACAGCCAGGUAAGUAUGUUAUUGCAGAAAAUAUGAUAUAUUGCAUAUAUUCACAAAUGAUCAUCUUAAGAAGGAAGUUACUAAGAUGAAACCCUUUCACGUAAAGAGAAAAACUAUGUGCAAAAGCUCCUGACUUCCAGAACAUUACACUGGUCUGUUUUUCUCCAACUGUACUUACUGCUUCUCAGUUUCUUUUGCUGGUUUCUUCUCACAUUUCUUACAUUGAAUAGUUGGAAUUUCAUAUAUAUAUAUAUUCACUUCAUAGAUCAACUUAUAUAUAUAUUAUUUAUAAGAUAAUGACUCCCAAACAUAUAACAACAGCCCAAACAUAUAACCUCACCUCUCUCCUAAUUUCCAAACUGUGUUUCAUCUCUAUUUGGGUAUCUAAAAAAGCCUCUGAAGUCAGCUCCUCUUUUUGUCUCCACAUCUCAGUUAAUGACAACUCAGUUCUAGUUCUUCAGGCUAAAGUCCCUUGAUGUCAUCCUUGACUCAGUUCUCUCCCUCGCCCUGUCCCCUUCCUCUCUCCCUUUCUUCCUCUCUCUAUCCCCCUCCCUUCUUCCUUUUCCCCUCCUCCCUUCCCCCCCUCUCUCCCUCUCUCCUCUCUCGUCUCUCCUCUCUCCUCUUUGUCUUUGUCUCCAUAUCUGUUCUUCCAAAAUUUCUGUCAGUUCUAACUUCAAAAUAUAUUCAGAAUUUGACCCCUUUUCACCAUCUCCAUUCCUGUCUGGUAUUUUUGUUCCCUGCAGGCUAUUCUCAGCAGAGAAACGGGGUGAUUCUAUUAAAGGAUGUCAUAUUGUGUCAUCCCUCCAUUCCAGUGCUUCUCAGCUGGAGGGAUAUAUUGCUCUCCUGGGGAAAUUGGUGAUCAAUGUCAAGACAUUUUUGGUCAUCAGGACUGCCUGUGAGGGAGUUCCUCUACCCACUAUACCUGGAGGCAACAUGAUGAGUCAGGGAAUCAGCAGUCCUAAGUCAAAAACCCUCCAUGGAGUUAUACAAUACACAGCCCAUGGUUGAUGGCCUGAGACUUGGAACACCUGCUGGCUGGAAUGGUGUGCUCUGAGCCGAGCUACUGCAUGUAUUGGACAGCUCCUGAACGAUCACUUCUUUAUAGAUUUUGCUCAUCUUUGUGCACUUCCUGUGGCAUGGACUUUUCUUUGAGAGGUUAGUUAAGGCCUCCCUUAUUUGUUAGUAAUGGGAAAGAUCUUCCAGGAUACCAGGGACUCAUAUGGAUGGGGCCAUUUAGCUUCUAUUGAAAGCCCCUCUUUUCAUAUUCUUAAUGGUUAAUUUAAGCUAGAAAAAUCAUGUCUGCCUUGCCCAUAUAACAACUAAUCAAACUGUUAGCUAUUUCUAGUCAUGAUGAGAACUGUAAAUUUUCUUUGAAUAAAAUCACUAACUUCUGUUGAGUGAA